rnacentral:misc_RNA from 1 species
AAGUCGUAACAAGGUAACCGUAGGUGAACCUGCGGUUGGAUCAUUAAUAAAAUAUUAUGGGAUCAUGUAUGGUCUCAUAGUAAUUGGGGUGCCUCUCUUAUUAUGAGAGGGGUUACUCUUUAACACCUGUGAACUUGUUAUUAUACUCAAAAGGGUAUAGUCUUUUUUGGUGGUUGAAUAACCCCUUUAAAAGGUUUGAAAACCACCAAAGGAAUAUUACCCCUUUGACUAUUGAAAAAACUACUCUUUCUAUAAAAGCCUUAUCCACUAUAAUCAUAAUAGUAAACAACUUUUGACAACGGAUCUCUUGGCUCUC